AUAAAUGAGUUUCAGUUAGAUAAUAAGACGGUUGUAAUUGUGUGGUAAAUGCACCAAAAUCAAAGCUGUGCUCUCACCAUCCCUGUUUAUUCCACUUUAAUCGAACUCUAGUUUGUUUGUCUGGAAAGUCUGGUUCAUUUCGGGAGGUACGAAAGUACAGUCAAACUCCAAAAAUAUAAAACUCCUGUCUGCCUACAAACCCAAGUCUCGGUUCAGCUGAAGUGAAUAUGAAUGUCAAGCGGACCGGAGACACAUCCAAGAGCAAGAAGUGAACUACAGCACAGGGCAUUCUGGCAACAGCUGAGUGGAGUGGAAGAAAGACACCAGAGGAUUGUCAACAUGUUAAUACCCCUGGCAGGAAGGUUUGGACUGAAUGGAGCUGCUUCAGUCGACUCUGAAACUCUACAGUUCAGUUUGAUUGGC